rnacentral:rRNA from 1 species
AGCGAACGCUGGCGGCAGGCUUAACACAUGCAAGUCGAGCGGGCAUCCUUGUGGUGUCAGCGGCAGACGGGUGAGUAACGCGUGGGAACGUGCCCUUCGGUUCGGAAUAACUCCGGGAAACUUGAGCUAAUACCGGAUACGUGCGAGAGCAGAAAGGUUUAUCUGCCGAAGGAUCGGCCCGCGUCUGAUUAGCUAGUUGGUGAGGUUACGGCUCACCAAGGCGACGAUCAGUAGCUGGUCUGAGAGGAUGAUCAGCCACACUGGGACUGAGACACGGCCCAGACUCCUGCGGGAGGCAGCAGUGGGGAAUAUUGGACAAUGGGGGCAACCCUGAUCCAGCCAUGCCGCGUGAGUGAUGACGGCCUUAGGGUUGUAAAGCUCUUUUCUCCGGGACGAUAAUGACGGUACCGGAGGAAUAAGCCCCGGCUAACUUCGUG